GAUGAACGCUGGCGGCGUGCUUAACACAUGCAGGUCGAACGGAAAGGCCCAAGCUUGCUUGGGUACUCGAGUGGCGAACGGGUGAGUAACACGUGGGUGAUCUGCCCUGCACUUCGGGAUAAGCCUGGGAAACUGGGUCUAAUACCGGAUAGGACCACAUUUUGGAUGGUGUGGUGGAAAGUUUUUCGGUGUGGGAUGAGCUCGCGGCCUAUCAGCUUGUUGGUGGGGUAAUGGCCUACCAAGGCGUCGACGGGUAGCCGGCCUGAGAGGGUGUACGGCCACAUUGGGACUGAGAUACGGCCCAGACUCCUACGGGAGGCAGCAGUGGGGAAUAUUGCACAAUGGGCGCAAGCCUGAUGCAGCGACGCCGCGUGGGGGAUGACGGCCUUCGGGUUGUAAACUCCUUUCGCUAGGGACGAAGCGCAAGUGACGGUACCUGGAGAAGAAGCACCGGCUAACUACGUG
rnacentral:rRNA from 1 species